UUAAAUUGAAGAGUUUGAUCAUGGCUCAGAUUGAACGCUGGCGGCAGGCCUAACACAUGCAAGUCGAACGGUAACAGGAAGCAGCUUGCUGCUUUGCUGACGAGUGGCGGACGGGUGAGUAAUGUCUGGGAAACUGCCCGAUGGAGGGGGAUAACUACUGGAAACGGUAGCUAAUACCGCAUAACGUCGCAAGACCAAAGAGGGGGACCUUAGGGCCUCUUGCCAUCGGAUGUGCCAGAUGGGAUUAGCUAGUAGGUGGGGUAACGGCUCACCUAGGCGACGAUCCCUAGCUGGUCUGAGAGGAUGACCAGNCACACUGGAACUGAGACACGGUCCAGACUCCUACGGGAGGCAGCAGUGGGGAAUAUUGCACAAUGGGCGCAAGCCUGAUGCAGCCAUGCCGCGUGUAUGAAGAAGGCCUUCGGGUUGUAAAGUACUUUCNGCNGGGAGGAAGGGAGUAAAGUUAAUACCUUUGCUCAUUGACGUUACCCGCAGAAGAAGCACCGGCUAACUCCGUGCCAGCAGCCGCGGUAAUACGGAGGGUGCAAGCGUUAAUCGGAAUUACUGGGCGUAAAGCGCACGCAGGCGGUUUGUUAAGUCAGAUGUGAAAUCCCCGGGCUCAACCUGGGAACUGCAUCUGAUACUGGCAAGCUUGAGUCUCGUAGAGGGGGGUAGAAUUCCAGGUGUAGCGGUGAAAUGCGUAGAGAUCUGGAGGAAUACCGGUGGCGAAGGCGGCCCCCUGGACGAAGACUGACGCUCAGGUGCGAAAGCGUGGGGAGCAAACAGGAUUAGAUACCCUGGUAGUCCACGCCGUAAACGAUGUCGACUUGGAGGUUGUGCCCUUGAGGCGUGGCUUCCGGAGCUAACGCGUUAAGUCGACCGCCUGGGGAGUACGGCCGCAAGGUUAAAACUCAAAUGAAUUGACGGGGGCCCGCACAAGCGGUGGAGCAUGUGGUUUAAUUCGAUGCAACGCGAAGAACCUUACCUGGUCUUGACAUCCACGGAAGUUUUCAGAGAUGAGAAUGUGCCUUCGGGAACCGUGAGACAGGUGCUGCAUGGCUGUCGUCAGCUCGUGUUGUGAAAUGUUGGGUUAAGUCCCGCAACGAGCGCAACCCUUAUCCUUUGUUGCCAGCGGUCCGGCCGGGAACUCAAAGGAGACUGCCAGUGAUAAACUGGAGGAAGGUGGGGAUGACGUCAAGUCAUCAUGGCCCUUACGACCAGGGCUACACACGUGCUACAAUGGCGCAUACAAAGAGAAGCGACCUCGCGAGAGCAAGCGGACCUCAUAAAGUGCGUCGUAGUCCGGAUUGGAGUCUGCAACUCGACUCCAUGAAGUCGGAAUCGCUAGUAAUCGUGGAUCAGAAUGCCACGGUGAAUACGUUCCCGGGCCUUGUACACACCGCCCGUCACACCAUGGGAGUGGGUUGCAAAAGAAGUAGGUAGCUUAACCUUCGGGAGGGCGCUUACCACUUUGUGAUUCAUGACUGGGGUGAAGUCGUAACAAGGUAACCGUAGGGGAACCUGCGGUUGGAUCACCUCCUUACCUUAAAGAAGC
rnacentral:rRNA from 1 species